rnacentral:rRNA from 1 species
CUAAUUUAUUAGAGUCUAGCAGCGGACGGCUGAGUAAUGCUCAGGAACGUACCUUAAAGUAGGGUAUAGCCCCGGGAAACCCGGGGGUAAUCCCCCAUGUGCUCUACGGAGUAAAGCCGCAAGGCGCUUUAAGAACGGCCUGAGUCCUAUCAGGUAGUUGGUGGGGUAAUGGCCUACCAAGCCUAUGACGGGUAGCUGGUCUGAGAGGAUGACCAGCCAGAUCGGGACUGAGACACGGCCCGA